rnacentral:Y_RNA from 1 species
GGCUGGUCUGAAGGUAGUGAGUUAUCUCAGUUGAUUGUUCACGGUCAGUUACAGACUGAACUCCUUGUUCUUCUCUUUCCCCUCUUACUGCUGCACUUGACUAGUCUUAA